UUCCCUCCUUAACGCCAUUUCGGCGCCAUUUCUUCUAGAUCUAGGUUUAGGGACUCAUUUCAGUUAGCAGCGCAACUCAACUUGAUUCUCUCCAAAAUUCUGAACUCAAUUAUCACUCAAGGGCUUAGAUUACCACAAUUUUGCAUAGUUUUCAGGUAAUUGUUUUCUCCAAUCUUGUUCGUUAAUCUUCAAUUGAUUUGCAAGUUAUGCUGAUUUAUUUGUUAUUCAUAAUUGAAUUUUGUCGAUUUUAAAAUUUUGCUAGUUUCUCUUACGAGAAAGAAUUUUGGGAGAAAAACGGCAUUUCACUAAUAAUUUAGGAGAUUUUCGUUAAAAUUUAUGUUAAAUUUCAUAAGCUUUCCUUUAAUUGUGAAAUCAUGUUACAAGUUUUUGCUUCCUACUGAAGUUGUUGGCAACUUGGCUUGUUUCUAUUGAUGUCAUGGGUUUUCUAUUGUUUCUUUUUACUGUGGAAUUGAUAGAUCAGUGUUUGAGCCGAUUUUUGUUAAAUUGAGUAAUGGAUUUGAGUUUCCUAGAUGGUCCAGUUUACUUAUUUGUCAAAUGGCUCAUGUUUUAUUGUAUAAUAACUACUUUUAUUUCCCUAUAUCAGAUUUGAAUUACUUUGCAUACAACUUGGAAUAUUACUUUGCUCCUCUUGUCUUUUAUCUAAUGUUUAUUAUACAGGUCUGUAAGAGCGUUGAAUUAGAGUAAAUAGUAUCAAUUUAGAAUGCAUCAAGGGUUGAAGUUUAGAAUGAAAAUUUGAGUACAAUGUUUGCUAUUGGUGUUCUGUGCUGGACAAGAAAUUGAAUUGGGUAUUAUGAUUAUUGCUUCCUCAAAUAAUUUUUUCACUAGUGAAGGAUAGUGUGCCGGGGCAAGCAUGCUCAUGAGUUGUUACCAUACUCCAUUCCUCGCCAUAGACGCAAUAUUCCAACUUCAAAGUUCAGAUUAUGAGCAUUAACUUAUUUUGUCCUGUCUUUGUUCACUGUGUAAGUACUCCGCAAUUGGGAUUUCUGUGUGGCUGCCAAUAUAAGUUCAUGGAUGAUGCCUUCUGUUUUUUAAACUUGCAGACGCCUGGUUGAUGCGCUCACUACCGGUCUUAGAAAUAUGAGUACUUUUAAUAGAUAGUGAGGGAAAAGCAUAUUGAUAGAGGGUACUUGACAGUUGCUUCUUACGGAAUUCAAGUUCCUGUUUGAUAUGGAGUAUUAAGCCUUUCAUUGUGUCCAAACUUUUCAUUCUACUCUCCAUUAAUCAAAACUCUAGCAAUAUUUCUUCUUUAGUAUGGUGUAAAAAGAAAAUUAAAAAAGGGCUUGAUAGGUUUGUACUUGAAGUGGGAACUAGAGACAUGUUAGGUGCCAAACAUUUUGCAAAUUCUAGAAGAGAAUCAAUGGCACCUUUAAAGCCUAGUCAGGCUACACUAACAAGGAAGUCCGCCAGGACCAAAUUUGUUAUAGAUAAUGCAGAUCCAAAUUUCGUUGUUAGGCUUGUACUAGAAGUGGGAGCUAAGGAUUUAGAUGGAGACAAGAUUCCAACUCCAUAAAGUUUUGAAGAGAAAUUGAAGAAAAGCCAUCUCCUCCAAUAGUUUCUGACCCGCAGAAAAAAGUGGUAAGAUCUCACCUCUUUUCAAUGUUAUUAGAUAGAAUGCCUUUGUAGAAAGGAUUCUCCGAAUCUCCGUAGCCAUUAAUUAUAUUAGUUUUGCAUUCUGAAAGCUGACCAGUCAACAGUUUUAUCCGUGUUUUCCAUUUGCAAUCGUUUUCGUUUCAGCACUUUAGAGUUAUACCACCUACAAUACCAAGAAUAGAAUUCAUUAUUUCUUCCUUUUAGAAUUACUCUUCUGCUAUAUUCUUACGCUUCUGUUAUAAUUCUUACUAAGUAUUUGGUAAUUUACAUUAUUAAAUACUUACUAUCCAGAUAGUUAGAGUUUGUUAACUAAUUAAAUUGGAUACCUCAAGCAAAAAGGAAUAUUUUUUAUUGGUCUUUGAACUAAGAUAGACAAUAAUGUUAAAGUAGGGCAAUCAAGUGCUUAAAAAUUUCUUGUAGUGAUUAAUUUCCUCAAGGUGUUACCUCUAUGGGCCCGCCUGGAUUGGGGGGAAUGGGGUGUAACAAUUAAUAGGGUAAUAAAUAUGGGCUUUAACCACAUGCCUGGAUUGGGGUUAGUUUUUCGGCCCAUACUUUUUUCCCCAAAUAUGAGGGUAAUGUAUUACCCUAGCCCCCCCUAGGGUAAUAAUUAACCGGGUAAUUUCAACUCUUGCUCUUCAUUGUUCAGACUUGGUUUCGUCGUCAACGCAGUCUUCACCAUAGCUCUCUUCCUCUCUCUUCUUGAUCUGUCAACUGGAAUCUUCAAUUCAUCAUGGUUGCUUUUUCUCUCUCUACCAUGGCUAAUCUACUGUAUAUUCUUCAGGUUUUUAAUUUUUCCACAAUUAUUUUAUCAACUUUUUUUCCGAUUAAAUUACCGAUUUUUGUUUGAUUUCUACUCAUUUUCAAAUUCUUUUAUUUGAACUUCCAACGUGGUUAUGUUUGAUAUUUUUUUACAUGUGAUUUUUUUAUUUAUAUGUUUCUUUUUUUUCUUUUGAGGUUUCAGAUGUUCUACAGAGUUGUGGGAUUUUUUUUUUCUUUUUCUGAUGGAAGUGGGAUUGUUCUUAUGAUUAGCAGUAGGUUUGAUUUAUUGUGAUGAAGUUGAAUAUAUUACUCUCAAAGUUUCUGGAUUUAAAAAAAAAAAAAGAGGUAUCCUCAAAUUUUCUGGAUUUGGGAAAAAACUAAGAACAUUCUUGUAUUUUUUUAAAUAAUAAAAACAUUACUGUAUUUUCAACAAAAUAAAAGAGAAAUUGCAUUCAUUAAUAUGUUUAUAUAGCUUCAUUCCAAACACACGAAGCAUUAACCCAGUAAAACUUACCUUAUUUCCAAACCUCUUCCAUAGCUAUCCCCAUAAAUUUUCCACCCCUAAACUUGUCCUCCAGUAAUAGUUCCCCAAUAAAAUCUACCCCCUUAAUUAUUAACUUUAAUCCAGGCGAGCCCUAUAUGUAAAUUUUCUUGUAGUGUACAUUUCGUAAGUCUUCAAUUGGGAAGAUGAACUUGCAAUUGGGGAGCACUUGGUACGAUUAACUUUCGAUUGGGGAGCACUUGGAACGAUUAACUUGCGAUAGGUAUGCAACUGCUGAAUAAUUUGAUUUCCACUUACAUGUUAAUAAUUUCCUUGUUAUUGCAUAAUUGAUGAGUUGGAGUCGACUGAAGAUUUGUUUUGUGAGCAAUUUUUACUUCUUUAUUGACAAUUUGAUGAAUUAAGAGGGUUCAGUAUAUGAGUUUCUUGCAAUUAUCAAUAGCAUUACGUUGUGUAUGAUUAGGAUAAUCUGGGAUUGUUUUCCAUUGUCUUUUUCAUCUGUAUUGACUGUUUAGUGUUUACUGUGGACAUACUCGCAUCUAAUUUGACAGUUUACUGUGGAAAUAUUCCAAUCAAGAGGUAACUAAUAAUGACCUUUUUUGUGUGUGUGGAGGUUCCUUGGAGGAAAUUACUCUGCAACAACCAAGUCCUCCUAAGUGUAUUUUUAUCAUGUGGUUGGCUGUGAUGAGGAGAUUGUCUACUUGUGAUAAUCUGCUGAAGAUGGGUGUUCAUUGCGAUCAGGUUUGUAGAUUUUGUUCUGCUGCGAAUGAGGAUAUCAAUCACUUGUUUUUUGCUUGUAAGUUUACAUCAGAGGUAUGGUGUAGCAUUCUAAACUGGCUUGGAUGCCACAGACCCGUAGGAAGUCUGAGUUUUGAGAUCGACAAAUUGGUGAAAGAUUGUAACGGGAAUUCUGGUUUUCAUCAGCUUCAUAGGAUGGAACUUUCGGUGUCUUUCUAUUUCUUAUGGUUGGAGCCAACAUUAGGAUUUUUAAUCAGUCUACUCGUAGUUCAACAGAGAAUGUAAAGAGCAUUCAACUUGUUGUUGCUACUAGAUGUCUGCAUACGAAAAAUCUGAUUGAUCUUUUGCCAUGAGCCUAACUGGUUACAGUCUAUGUUGAAGUCUUGGUGCAGCUGCUGCAUUGUGCCUCUGUUCCUAUUUUGUGUCUUUGGUGGUUGGCUUUGCUCUGAUGUGGCUUUGCUCUACUGUUGUUUUGUUCUGCUGCAUGCUCUGCUGUUGUACUCUGUUAUGUCUUCUGCAAUUUGGCUAUUUUUUUGGCUGUUGUUUGUGUGUUUUAGUUUGGGAUGCGAGUUUGUGCUCCCUUAGCGGUUUUAUUGUUUCUUUGUUUGAAUAUUCUUUGGUUUCUACCUUUUGGUAACAAAAUAUAUAUUAUCUACCAAAAAAAUAAAAAUAAUGACCUAAUUUUUUUGCUCAAAUUUUGGUUUUUUAAUCAAUUAAUUUUGUUGAGAUGGGCUUAUUCUGGUAAGCAGUAGGAAGUUUGUUUGGGUGCUGAUUUAUUAUGGCAUGUUCUGGUUUAGCUGGAAGUUGGUUGGUUUUCUUAAUCUGUCUAAUUUUUCCUGAUGUUAUGAUGUUAAGUAGUAUUGAUCAUUAGAGUGUCGUUUUAGUUAAAGUUUAAGAUUAUUGCUAUCCUUGCAUAAGCUUAAAAAAUAUCUUCAAGCUUUCAUGGGGAGAACACGUUCAGUUGAAAACUUGGAGAACACUUACAGUCUUGCCUCAGAAAUCGAUGCAGUAUGUUUGAUCUAUAUGCUGCACAUAAGAAUAAGCAACUUUGUAGCAUCAUUUGAAUUAUAAGUUUGCUUUGUUUUGAACUCAUCUUUCUGUUUCAGAUACGGGUUUAUAGAAAUAGCUUCCACUCUUUCCUCGUUGCUAUAGUUAACCCUAACAAGCAGGCUCUUGGUUGCUUCUGUUCUGCUCGCAGUUGGGUUGGAGCUGUUGUUCAGUGAUAGGGUUCCAGUUGGAAGAGUUGGUAGAACUUCAUCGGAUGGGAAGCUGUUGUUGCAACAACUUGAAGUUGAGUGGCUGCCUGCCUUUUCUUGCUGUUAAUCAGGACUAUGUAGCUGUUCUGUUUUAUGUUUUUUUGUACUAGUUCAUAUGGAAUCCUAAAUUAUACAUUCAUCUAAUCAAAUGUUCCAGCUUACUCUGA